rnacentral:rRNA from 1 species
AGCGAACGCUGGCGGCAGGCCUAAUACAUGCAAGUCGAGCGGGCGUAGCAAUACGUCAGCGGCAGACGGGUGAGUAACGCGUGGGAACGUACCUUUUGGUUCGUAACAACACAGGGAAACUUGUGCUAAUACCGGAUAAGCCCUUACGGGGAAAGAUUUAACGCCGUAAGAAUGGCUCCCGUCUGAUUAGUUAGUUGGUGAGGUAACGGCUACCCAAGGCGGGGAUCCGUAGCUGGUCUGAGAGGAUGAGCAGACACAUUGAGUCUGAGACACGGCCCAAACUCCUACGGGAGGCAGCAGUGGGGAAUAGAGGAAAGUGGGGGCGACCAUGAUGCUGCCAGGCCGGUUGAGUGAUGAAGGCCCUAGGGUUGGAAAGCGCGUUUGUGCGUUAAGAUAAUGACGGUACCGAAAGAAUAAGCCCCGGCUAACUUCGUG